UAAUCUAAUUCUCUGAAACUAUCACUAAACCCUAACCUCCUUCCCCGCCUUUAUCAAAUUCUCCCCCAAACCCUUCACAGCACCACAAUCUUCUCCUGCUCUCCUUCGUGUUCGUCUUCUCCUGCUCUCCUUCGUGUUCGUCUUCUCCUGCUUGAGAUAUGUGAACAUUUGAUGAUUUAUCUGAUGAUGGAGGCGUCUAUGACUCUGUAGGAAAGGGGAGCCAAAAUACCUGCACAGUGUUGGAGCUGUUUGCACUCGCUGCUCCUCCUCCUCCAUAUCUGUCCGUGGUGUUGCUUGGAAUGUUUGAUUGUGAAUCAAGUGCCUCUUUCUGAUACGAGUUACUUUCUUGUUCUCCUAUCUUGCACACUCUGCCUCCACAAAUUUCUACAAAGCUUCUGCCUCCACAAAUGAUCUACCGGUAUUUUUGUAGGUCCCAAGCUCUGAAAUAUUCUUCAGUUUGAAUGCUACUAUUGUUGGCUUAGCUGUUGAUUCUGAAGGACCUGAAAAUUUACCUUGGUGUUUUGGCCUUGGGAUUGUGAGGGGCAUUGACACAGUAAAAGGUGUGCUAUAUGUCAUUACUCCUGUGCCACAUAGUUCCUUGGAAAAGGUCAACCUCUUGCUACAGGGUUAUAUUCAAAUUCCCUCUUGUUUGUUGCAGGCAAGAUAUUGUUUUACAUGCUUUUUCUUUCUUCUUAACAUAAUAUUACAGAAAUGAAAGAUAAUAUGUUGAAGUUCA